GAUGAAGAACGCAGCGAAAUGCGAUAAGUAAUGUGAAUUGCAGAAUUCCGUGAAUCAUCGAAUCUUUGAACGCACAUUGCGCCCCCUGGUAUUCCGGGGGGCAUGCCUGUCCGAGCGUCAUUGCAACCUUCAAGCGCGGCUUGUGUGUUGGGUCUCGUCCCCCGUGGACGGGCCCGAAAGGCAGUGGCGGCGUCCCGACAUGGUGCCCGAGCGUAUGAGAAUCCUCUUCCGCUCGAAUCGGCCCAUGCGGCGCUGGUCGUAACCAAAUUUUUUACCGGUUGACCUCGGAUCAGGUAGGGAUACCCGCUGAACUUAAGCAUAUCAAUAAGCGGAGGA
rnacentral:misc_RNA from 1 species